CCUCCCGGGAAGUCCUCGUG
rnacentral:snRNA from 1 species